AAGUCGUAACAAGGUUUCCGUAGGUGAACCUGCGGAAGGAUCAUUACCGAGUUCUCGGGCUUCGGCUCGAAUCUCCCACCCUUUGUGAACAUACCUCUGUUGCUUUGGCGGCUCUUUGCCGCGAGGAGGCCCUCGCGGGCCCCCCCCCGCGCGCUUUCCGCCAGAGGACCUUCAAACUCCAGUCAGUAAACGUCGACGUCUGAUAAACAAGUUAAUAAACUAAAACUUUCAACAACGGAUCUCUUGGUUCUG
rnacentral:misc_RNA from 1 species